rnacentral:rRNA from 1 species
AACGAACGCUGGCGGCAUGCCUAACACAUGCAAGUCGAACGAAGGCUUCGGCCUUAGUGGCGCACGGGUGCGUAACGCGUGGGAAUCUGCCCUUAGGUUCGGAAUAACAGUUAGAAAUGACUGCUAAUACCGGAUGAUGACGUAAGUCCAAAGAUUUAUCGCCUGAGGAUGAGCCCGCGUAGGAUUAGCUAGUUGGUGUGGUAAAGGCGCACCAAGGCGACGAUCCUUAGCUGGUCUGAGAGGAUGAUCAGCCACACUGGGACUGAGACACGGCCCAGACUCCUACGGGAGGCAGCAGUGGGGAAUAUUGGACAAUGGGCGCAAGCCUGAUCCAGCAAUGCCGCGUGAGUGAUGAAGGCCUUAGGGUCGUAAAGCUCUUUUACCCGUGAUGAUAAUGACAGUAGCGGGAGAAUAAGCCCCGGCUAACUCCGUG